rnacentral:tRNA from 1 species
GCCUCGAUGGUGUAACGGCAGCACGCUGGACUCGUCACCCCAGAAGCGCCGGUUCGACUCCGGCUCGUGGCUCCG